GUGCUCACUUCGACAGCACACUCACUAAAAUUGGAACGAUACAGAGGAGAUUAGCAUGGCCCCCUACGCAAGGAUGACACGCAAAUUCGUGAAGCAUUCCAUAUUUUU